AUUGAACGCUGGCGGCAUGCCUUACACAUGCAAGUCGAACGGCAGCACGGGAGCAAUCCUGGUGGCGAGUGGCGAACGGGUGAGUAAUAUAUCGGAACGUGCCCAGUCGUGGGGGAUAACGCAGCGAAAGCUGUGCUAAUACCGCAUACGAUCUACGGAUGAAAGCGGGGGAUCGCAAGACCUCACGCGACUGGAGCGGCCGAUAUCAGAUUAGCUAGUUGGUGGGGUAAAGGCCCACCAAGGCGACGAUCUGUAGCUGGUCUGAGAGGACGACCAGCCACACUGGAACUGAGACACGGUCCAGACUCCUACGGGAGGCAGCAGUGGGGAAUUUUGGACAAUGGGCGCAAGCCUGAUCCAGCAAUGCCGCGUGCAGGAUGAAGGCCUUCGGGUUGUAAACUGCUUUUGUACGGAACGAAACGGCCCUUUCUAAUACAGGGGGCUAAUGACGGUACCGUAAGAAUAAGCACCGGCUAACUACGUGCCAGCCGCCGCUGUAA
rnacentral:rRNA from 1 species